AACGAACGCUGGCGGCAUGCUUAACACAUGCAAGUCGAACGGACGUAGCAAUACGUUAGUGGCGCACGGGUGAGUAACGCGUGGGAACCUGCCCUAAAGUACGGAAUAACGAUGAGAGACUAUCGCUAAUACCGUAUGUGCUAACCGAUUAUGGUGAUUGGUUAGGAAAGUUUUUCGCUUUAGGAUGGGCCCGCGUUGGAUUAGCUAGAUGGUGGGGUAACGGCCUACCAUGGCGACGAUCCAUAGCUGGUCUGAGAGGAUGAUCAGCCACACUGGGACUGAGACACGGCCCAGGCUCCUACGGGAGGCAGCAGUAGGGAAUAUUGGACAAUGGGGGAAACCCUGAUCCAGCAAUGCCGCGUGAGUGAUGAAGGCCUUCGGGUUGUAAAGCUCUUUUGCCGAUGAAGAUAAUGACUGUAGUCGGAGAAUAAGCCCCGGCAAACUUCGUGCCAGCCGCCGCGGUAA
rnacentral:rRNA from 1 species